rnacentral:rRNA from 1 species
CAGUAGCCGCGGGAAUACAGAGGGUGCGAGCGUUAAUCGGAUUUACUGGGCGUAAAGCGUGCGUAGGCGGCUUCUUAAGUCGGAUGUGAAAUCCCUGAGCUUAACUUAGGAAUUGCAUUCGAUACUGGGAAGCUAGAGUAUGGGAGAGGACGGUAGAAUUCCAGGUGUAGCGGUGAAAUGCGUAGAGAUCUGGAGGAAUACCGAUGGCGAAGGCAGCCAUCUGGCCUAACACUGACGCUGAGGUACGAAAGCAUGGGGAGCAAACAGGAUUAGAUACCCCGGUAGUCCCUGUCUCUUAUAC